UACAGCCAAGACUGUAUUAUCUAUCUACAAGAUAGAUAUUUCUGAUAGAUAUUUCUGAUAGAUAUUUCUGCAUGAGGUCAGCUGAGCCAAAGAAGUUUCUGAGCAAUGUGACAUGAACAUUUCCAGGCAUAUGAAGAACCAGAGAGCUGGACAUAGCUGUAUGGUCUUGUGAUUCAGCUCACAAAGCUACUUAGAUGAAUGGUCUGUAAUGUAAACCAAAAAUUAGCACUUGUGAGAACAGCACCUUAUCCUUCUGCAGUUCUUUCCAGGUAGAAUACUUGCCCAGACUCAGAAGUAUUAAAAAAUAUACAUGAAAAAGAAUGUCUGCGUCAGGUAGCCAUAGUAACCAACGUCUAGAAGUGGACAACAAAGAGCAUUGAAAUGCUGGUUUGUGCAUUUACUUUUUAAAGGAUGGCUCAUUUUCUCAUUGCCCACGACUUCAUCUAUCCAAAGCUGUCUAAACAAUGCAAGUAACUUGGCUUUUUCCCACAUUAUGUAACUUACUUUGCUUCCAGCUUCCAUGGAGCCUUUGCUUUUGGACUGAAGAUUUCCAGGUUCAGCCUCAGUAAGGUGACCUUUAAACUGAGUAGAGACUCUCCAGCACAGACCCAUGGAGGAGGAGCUACUGUGAACUUAAAUACAGACUCAGGUCUGGUUUGUAAAUGUCAGUGAUCUUUGUCAGAAAGCAAGGUUAGUAAAACCACAUCUUCAGAAAGCAUUCUCUGAAAAGGGCUUAGAAAUAACUGUAAAUAAAUAAGGGAAGAAAAAGACCUGAACAUAUAGUGGCUGCAAAGACAUUUGUAUAAAAACCAUUUAUAUUAUUUCUGUGAAUCCAAAUGAAAAGAUUACUUCUAAAUUGUACCCAAAUCUCACAUCCAGCAUUUUUACACUGUUAAAAAUUUGGAGAGAGUUCAAAGUGGUAACAAAGUAUCUAAAUUGGCAAUCCCCACCACAGGAUGCAGAGGGAGUAACACACUGGGAGAACAUCUGCUAUCCCAACUGUGACCUGGAAGGGAAUGUGAGUGAGAUACUUGGGUUAAAUAUAAGAAAAAUGCCAAAUAUCUGCUGCAUACUUCAAGGGACUAACAAAGUCAUGUGCCAUCCCUUUGUGCUGUGUUGUUCAUUUUGUUUUCUCUGGAAAGCCAGAUGUUGGUAAAUUGGGACCUGGCCAGAUGGCUUCCAGUUAGGGAAUGGUUGUUGUUGCCUCUUGUCCUGAGAAACUGAAUUUCUUAAAACUGGAGGUGACUGUACUUGUCCACAGGUGAGCUGGAGAUGGGGUGAAAAUGAGCAAAAGCUUUCCAGCCUGAGUUUUACAGGUUAACAAACCAGCAAAGUCUCCUGCUGCUUAGCUCCCUUGGGGCUUGUGGUCUCAUAUUGAGGAACAGCAAAGAAUGACUGGGAGACAUAAACACGAGGUGGGGCAAAAACAAAAUAAAGAAAACUUUAAAUAUUGUAAUACAAUCAUAUAAUCCUUGAAUGGUUUGGGGUGGAAAGGCCCUUAAAGCUCAUCUUGUUCCACCCCCUGCCAUGGACAGGGACACCUUCUAGUAGACCAGGUUGCUCCCAGCCCAUCCAGCCUGGCCUUGGACACUUCCUAAAUUUAGGUGAGCUGAAAAGAACUCUUGGCGAUUGCCUGGAAGCUUAUGAUGCCUUCAAGUACUGUGUGGGGAACUACAUUUUUAUUUGUGUAAAUUAAUUGGAAGGGAGCCACCCUGAGAGUUUUUCUGGAAAAACUCAUUAAAUCAAAUUUAUCUGUUAUGUGAUCAACUUCAUUGUGAGAAUAAAUACGGGUAGUUCAGCAAAAUAGGAAGAAGAUGAAUAUUUCUGUGGAUUUAUAAAGCCAUCAAGCAAGGGUAUAAAAUGAAUACAGUUGUUAUCUGGUGGUGUCAGCUAAAUCAAUAACAUUCAAUAUGGCAGCCUUCCCUGCUCAUGGGCACACCUGGGGAAAUUUCUUAAUUUUAACUAUAGGAAAAUGCAGGACAAACACAUAUAAAAUCCCAAUAUGAUUUUGGAGCUCUGGGAGUUGCACUGAAACAUUGGUAGCAAUGGUAUGGUAUCUAUUAUUGCAUAAAGAUGUUCAUGUUCUGGAGCCUUUUUGUUUUCUUAACCUUUGAAGUCAAACAGUUCAGGUGGCAAAAAUUUGGUUGUCACAAACCACUGGCUGAUGGGGAGGUGUGAAAUGUGUUUUGAGAAUGACUCAAGUCAAAAGUAGUCCAACAAAAACUACAUUCUAGGUUAAAAAAACACUGGGCAGUCACAGUGAGAUGCUAUUUUAAAGAGCAUUCUGGGAUUUAAAAUAGUAUCUAAAUCUCCAAUGUUGAUUCAAUGCUACUUAAAAUACCUUUCACUGACAGGAAUCUGAAUCUUUGUGAGAAAACAGGAGCAGAAGAGAUUGACAGUGCCAUUCUAGAAAGAGGGUUUGCAGAAACUUGUCAAGAAGGAGCUUACCUCACGUGAACAGAUUCAGAGAUAUAUUUUUAUUCACCUUUACAGCAACUACCCACAGUUGCUGUACAAGAUUAUUUAGGACAUUCUGCAAAAGAGUGAUGAAGAAAGUCAAUCCUAAAUAAACAAAUCAUUUUAUGAAACA